UUUAGAAGCGUGAGGGCGCAAGGAGUAGUUGAAAAUGCUGCCUCUCCCUUCUAGGCUCUUCUUGUCGUCGAAUCCUCCGCUGUUCCAUUUUCUUCCUGCAACCUCCGUCGUGAUUCCAAACCCAAAAGCUUUAAUACCCAUCAUGUCAUUCUCUUCUUCUCCGGCUGCUUCUUCUUUUUCAACUUACCCUUCCAAAGCCAACCCUAGAGAAGAACAAGACUUGGAGGAACACAAACUCUCGCAGGUCCUCAAAUACCACAACCAGACCAAGCACUCCUUCAACAAGUACGCCAGAGGCCCUCACGGCCUCGAUUGGGCCAACCAACCUAACCCAUUUCGCAGGUAUGUGUCUUCUCCUCUCCUUCCUCUUUUACACUACCCUUCGUUGCCAACUGAACCUCCGUUGUACUCCUCUGUGUUCCUUUCUCUUCCUCCUGCAAAACCCCUAUCCAAAUCCACCAUUUCUCAGUUCUUCUAUGACUCUCUCGCUCUUUCUGCUUGGAAAACCACGGGAUUCAGCACUUGGUCUCUCCGGGUUAACCCAAGUAGUGGUAAUUUGCACCCAACGGAAGCUUACAUUAUUGCCCCUCCCAUAGAAUCUCUCUCUGACUCACCUUUUGUUGCUCAUUAUGCCCCAAAGGAGCAUGGUUUGGAGGUUAGAGCCGAAAUACCAUCAGAAUUCUUUGAAAAGUUUUUCCCCCGGAAUUCGUUUCUUGUUGGGUUGUCAUCUAUUUUCUGGCGUGAGGCAUGGAAAUACGGUGAGCGAGCGUUUAGGUAUUGUAAUCAUGACAUAGGUCAUGCUAUUGCUGCGGUUGCAAUGGCUGCUGCGGGGCUUGGUUGGGAUGUGAAGCUUAUAGACGGAUUGGGAUUUGAAGAUUUGAAGAAUCUUAUGGGGCUUCAAAUUUUCCCUGAAUUUGAAAUUCCAUCCAGACCUGUAAAAGGAAGAAUUCCGGAGAUUGAAUUUGAGCAUCCGGAUUGUGUUUUACUAGUUUAUCCCAACGGAGUUGGUGAUUUUGAUGUGGAUUGUAAAAAAUUAAGUUCUGCUUUAUCUGAAUUUUCGAAAUUGGAGUGGAAAGGAAAGCCAAAUUCUCUUAGCAAAGAGCAUAUAUGUUGGGAUAUUAUCUAUAGGACUGCUGAGAUUGUGAAGAAGCCUUUGACAUUGGGACUAGGAUUCUUUAUAAAUCCAUUUCAAAAAAGUGGUCUUUACAGUGAAUCCUCAUACAAGGGUUAUACAUUGAGGAAAGUUGUUAGGACACGUAGAAGUGCAGUGGAUAUGGAUGGAGUUACUGAAAUGUCGAGAGAUACAUUUUAUCAGAUUCUAUCACAUUGUCUUCCUUCAGGUUGUCAAACUGGAGAGAGACAAAAGAGGCAACAGGCAUUGCCGUUCCGGGCUUUUCCAUGGGAUGCUGAGGUGCACGCUGCUCUAUUUGUCCAUAGGGUGAUUGGUUUACCACGGGGCUUGUAUUUUUUGGUGAGGAAUGAAAAUCAUUUUGACGAGCUCAAGAAAUCUAUGAGCCCUGACUUUGUAUGGGCCAAACCAGAGGGCUGCCCUGAUGAUCUACCUUUAUAUGAACUCUAUAGAUACAAUUGUCAGCAGCUUGCUAAGCAGCUUUCAUGUCAUCAGGAUAUUGCUAGUGAUGGUUGCUUCAGCCUUGGUAUGUUAGCUCGUUUUGAGCCCACUUUGCGUGAGACGAAUGUGUGGAUGUAUCCUUGUUUAUUUUGGGAGACUGGGGCCCUGGGACAGUUGUUGUAUCUUGAAGCACAUGCUGUUGGAAUCUCAGCAACUGGGAUUGGUUGCUUCUUUGAUGACCCUGUGCAUCAGUUGCUUGGGUUGAAAGGGUCAAACUUUCAGAGUCUGUAUCAUUUUACGGUUGGUGGUCCUGUGCUAGACAAGCGUAUUAUGAGCCUACCGGCAUAUCCAGGUCCAGACCUAGAUGCUUAGGGUCUGUUUGCCACACCCAAUAGGAUAAUAAGGUAUGAUAAAAUUUUAGUAUCACGAGCAAGGAAGAACCACAGUUGAAGAAGUCAUCAUAGCUGUCCUCUUCAUCUACAUAUAAAGAAUUGGACAUUGUAUGUUGAUCCUUUGCAAAAUGGGUUCAAGUGUUUCUAUAAAUCUCCUGUAAUAGAGGCUACAAAAACUAACAUGUGCAUUCAAUUCUGGAGCGGUUUGGUUUGCUGAUUUUUGAACAAAGGAUAGGAAAGCUCGGCUCUUUUUCAUCUCCACUCACAUUGAAGACUUGUUUCCUGCCUUCUAUCCAUGGGAGGAGAGUGGAAGAUGUCAAAGGAAAGGGAAGGAUAAUACCCAAAGUACCCUUCCAUUUUCCUAAUAUGUUGCAUUGUAAUGAUUGAUUCGGGUGUUUGUUCUUUCAAUCUGAAUGAGGCUUUCUUUGAAGCUUCAAAGCAUAUUUCACUUUACUUUGGUGUUUGUAGUUAUUGAUGAGUUAGAGAUUCAGGUUCUGGUAUUUGGGGAGAUUCACAUUUUUAAUGUAAAUAAAUUGUGGCUUUUUUCA